AUUGAACGCUGGCGGCAGGCCUAACACAUGCAAGUCGAGCGAGCGGCGGACGGGGGUGUAAUGUGUGUGAAAAUGCCCGUGGGGGGGGGAGAACUAUUGGAAACGGUAGCUAUUACCGCAUACCAUCAGAUGUGCCCAGAUGGGAUUAGCUAGUGGGGGGGGUAACGGCUCACCUAGGCGACGAUCCCUAGCUGGUCUGAGAGGAUGACCAGCCACACUGGAACUGAGACACGGUCCAGACUCCUACGGGAGGCAGCAGUGGGGAAUAUUGCUCAAUGGGCGCAAGCCUGAUGCAGCCAUGCCGCGUGUGUGAAGAAGGCCUUCGGGUUGUAAAGCACUUUCAGCGGGGAGGCGUUACCCGCAGAAGAAGCACCGGCUAACUCCGUGCCAGCAGCCGCGGUAAUUC
rnacentral:rRNA from 1 species